GUAUGCGCUGGCCAACUCGUCGCGGUUCAAAGCUUGAAAUGCUUUGCCGCCAGAUUCACUGGCAAUGCGUUCGAUCGUUCGCAUGUC
rnacentral:tRNA from 1 species